GGGGCUGUAGCUUAGUGGUAGAGCACUUACCUCGCACAAAUGAGGCACUAGGUUUGAUCCUCAGCACCA
rnacentral:tRNA from 1 species